CUACGGGAGGCAGCAGUGGGGAAUAUUGCACAAUGGGCGCAAGCCUGAUGCAGCAACGCCGCGUGAGGGACGACGGCCUUCGGUUGUAACCUCUUUAGUCAGGAAGAAGCGAAAGUAGACGGUACCUGCAGAAAAGACACCGGCUAACUACGUGCCAGCAGCCGCGGUAAUACGUAGGGUGCAAGCGUUGUCCGGAAUUAUUGGGCGUAAAGAGCUCGUAGGCGGUUUGUCGCGUCUGCUGUGAAAACGCGAGGCUCAACCUCGCGCCUGCAGUGGGUACGGGCAGACUAGAGUGCGGUAGGGGAGAUUGGAAUUCCUGGUGUAGCGGUGGAAUGCGCAGAUAUC
rnacentral:rRNA from 1 species